rnacentral:lncRNA from 9 species
CUAAAGUUGGAGUAAGUAUUGGUUUCAUUCUCUUGUAAUCACUCACAAAAUGGGAAUGAUGAUCAAAAGGCUCUUUUCUCAGAGUAAAAAUAUCUGUAUCACAAAGAAGCUUAUUUGUGGCCCCAGAGAAGUACUAAUACAGUUUUAAAACAUGCCUAACAGGUGUUCCUGCUGUGGCACAGCAGAAAUGAAUCCAACUAGGAACCAUGAAGUUGCGGGUUGGAUCCCUGGCCUUGCUCAGUGGGUCAAGGAUCCAGCAUUACCGUGAGCUGUGGUGUAGGCCACAGAUGCUGCUAGGAUCUGGUGUGGCUGUGGCUGUGGCAUAGGCCAGUGGCAACAGCUCCAAUUAGACCCCUGUGCUGCGGGUGCAGCCCUAAAAAGACAAAAAAAAAAAAAAAAAAAAAAAGAUAAAAUGUGCCUAACAAUGGAUACAUUUUUAAAUGUUUUCUUUUUGGCUCAUCACAAUAGUUUGUCUUGAAGCCAUUUGGUUUAUUGAGAAUUUAUUUUUUUACAGGAUUUAAAAUCAUUAUUGAUACUACAUGAACUUGUUCUUGGGGAAGUCAGAUGUCACAGAAGAGGUCCUGCUAUACCGAGACAACACAUUGGGGAGGGAUCCAGAGAGAGAGCCUCAGCUCAGUGCCCAGCCAACAUCCAGCCUCCAGUGCAACCACAGGUAGAUUUCCUGAAGGAAAAACUGGGGAGCGAACACGUGCUAUUAGCACAGCACUUGACCUAGGAAGGAGCCAUGCAUUUUCAGAUCAAACCUGGUUACUCAGAGCCUGA